UAAAAGUAGGGCCACCACCUCAAAACUCAAAUCUCCUUACAGAAUUAUAGAAUUCACAUACAUCACAGAAUCCACAUAAAUUGCAGAAUAACUGCCAUAUAUGACAAUUGUGAAGCCAAUGGAAUGUGAUGCAGUGAAGUUAGAUUUUAUGUUUAUUUUGCCUUUUUAUCAAGUAAGUGGAGAGUUGCUGAUGUCAGGAAAGUUUCUAAUUGAGAAUCCCUAAUGCACAGUGUCCUGAUGAGUGGCGACCUUCUCAGCGAGGACUGACAACCACACGGGUUCCUACUUCAUGACCAGACCAGGGUCACCAUGGAGACAUUUCUCAUUGGAUCAGCUUAUUGUCCUGAAAACUCAAGACAAUGGAACAAUGCCAAGCAGUAAGAUAUGGAUACAAUGAGUAAAAUCUAAAGAUUGGUUCCUUUAAGACAAAGGGAUCAACAUGUAAUAACUUGGAAAUAUAUAGCAAAGAGAGAGCCAAAGACGUCUUCUAGCCCUGCACUUUGCCUCCUACUAGAACCAGUGGGAAGAUGCUCCAGGAAGUUAGCAGAGUCAGUUACAGUUAACUGCAGCUCAGUGUAAGGAAGAAACUCAACAGUGGAGUCAUUUUGAGAGGGAAUAGGUUAUUCUGAAAAGUAGGGAGUUUCCCUUCCCUAUGGGAGUUGAAUCCAAGGUUGGAUCUUUUUUUUUUUUUUUUUUUUUUGAGAUGUGGUUUUCCUAUGUUGCCCAGGCUGGAGUGUACUGGCUAUUCACAGGCAUAAUCACAGCAUAGCACACCCUUGAACUCCUGGGCUCAAGGAUCCUCCCACCUCAGCAUCCUGAGUAGGUGGGACUACAGGUACACGCCACUGCACCUGGCCUGGAUGAUCAUUAUUAAUGAAUGUUUUGUAGAAGGGAUAUAAACAUGAGAUUGGUAGAUGAUCUGAAUGACUUUUAUGUUUGAGAGUAUUUUAUUCCAUACUCACUGUAGCCUUAUGUUCCCAAUUUUAAAUACAUAUAUAUAUACACACAUAUAUAUACACACACAGUUAUAUAUGCUAAUAUGUUACUUAUGACUAAAUAGUAUUUAUUUUUUAUGUUUCUCUAAUAUCAUUUAUAUUAAGAAAUUAAUUAAUCAAAAAAUCAAUCUUUUGUCAGACCAAAAGCUUGAAAACAAAAUAUGGCCUGUAUAACUAUAUUUCAUGGAAAAAAUAAUAAUCCAAACCAUUUCUCAGUGGCGUUUGUUCCUGGUUCCUUUUCCAGUACAUUCAUUCACUCAUGAAAAAUCAUUUUUGGGCUCAAAUGGUAGAGAAAACAAAGCCAAAAUUCUGAGCAGCAGUCCCAACCCUAGGAAGCUGUGUGGUUAUAUUAUCUAACAUCUAAAGGGCUAUUUAACCAUUCUAGGACUUGGUUUUGUCAUUUGUAAAAGGAGUGAAAUAACAGAAGCUGCCUUACAGGAUCGUUGUAAAGAUUAAUGUGUGAAUAUACGUGAGCCACUUAGAACAAUGGCUGGUACAUAGUAAGUACUAUUUGAGUGAUAGCUUUCAUUAUCAUCAUCAUUCAACAACAAUAUUGUUAUUCCAGGCUUGGGGAGCAUAAACACGAAUAGGACAGGACCUCUUUUUCUCUAAAGAUGCAUAGUCCGGCUAGAGAAAGCAUGUAGGUAAACAGUGCAGGAAGGGGAGAGAAUCACUGUAAUGGGGAAAUGUGCUAGCAACUCCAAAUGGGAGAUUGCAGAGAAGGCUGUCAGAGAAAUAGGCUGUUGAGCUGGGUUUUGAUGACUGACAAGGCAUUUUCCAGGUAGAGGAGGGAAAAGUGAUCUGGGCUGAAGGAUGUCACUUUGUGUUUAGCAAUCCUGAGGUUGCCUUAAAUCAGCCUCAAUCACUUCUGUUGAGUAGAAGCCUAUGCUUUCUGUCCUGCCCUGGUUCUUGGCUGCAGGUCACAAAACAUUUCAGUCCAUUCAAGAAUCCUUGAGAGCUCUCCUGGGGACCUCCUGGGCAAUGCAGAGGUCAGACAGCAGAGCCACAUUCUCAGGGAGAGUGGCACAGUCAAGGGAGAAGACAGGUGAAGAGAAUGUUUUCCUGUGAAGGUGGUGAGCUGAUUGCCUUAGAGAGCGUGAGCUCCUGCCUUAGAGAGCAGGUGAACUCUCUCCAAGAAAGCAAAUGGAAACAAGCAAGCAAAACACGUUUCUUUCUCUUGUGUCUACACCCCCAGCCCCCACCACCCAUGAGUAAAGUGUCUUAUCUAGGUCUUACAAUCAGCCUUCCUAUCCAAUAUUCAGAUUUAUCUGAACAUGAGACCCAACGGUAACUCUUGUCCCCCACGGCUCACGUGAUGUAAAGGCUUACCUGGAGGAUCUCGCCUAUUCAUAGCAUCUUUGUCUCCAUGUCCUUAUCAUCAUGUCCUCUUUCGGGAAGCAAAAGAAAAGACCUUUUGCUCAUUUCACUUACUUGAGGAGACUGUUUCAAAUUGCUAUUUCUAUAUGGCAAAUUUUACCUCCACCCUGACUUAACUAGGUGAGGGUAGAAAAUGAGACCUGUGGAACAGAGGAAAAGCGAAUGCAAGGGGAUGAGCGGCAGCAGCAAGAACAUCCUGGACCAUUGGGGUGAGAUCAAUGAAACCCACACUGGAGCCCAGGCCCUGAUGUCCCCUGAGCUCCUCCUCCACAGCCUGUCAACUCCUGUGUCUCUGCAGUCCUAAAUAAACAAGAAGCAGCAGGUAAUUUUAUUUCCAAUCCAUGUUCACAAGAGGCUUCCUUUACUGGCAUCUUGCUGACAGGACCUUGCCUUACAAUGUGGAGUCACUUUUGCCCAGUUUAGCUCAGACAACUUCCUAGCAGGGAAGUAGGGAGUGGAUGGCUGGCUGGAGGUCUGGAAGGGGGACACACAUGGAAGGGGGUUGUUGUUUCUAUUAAAAAUGGACAGUGCCGCAGCUGUGGUCUGGCCUCCUACUCUCUCUCAAGCUGUAAUCCAAGGGUUGUCCAGUGCCACGGGUUGGCUAUUGAAAACCUAAGUUGUUGAAUCACCUUUGAAAACAGACUCAAAUUCAGACUGAUCAGCCCAGAGCAGAAUUCUGUUGGGCAUGUUCCCCAGGCAAAACUGUUGAGUAGAGAUGUAAAAAAAAAAAAUUCUAGAAACUGAAACAUCAUGAGAGCCACUUUACAGCAAAUCUAAUUACUUCCCAUUGUUUACAAUCACUGUCACAAAUGAUUAUCAUUUGUUAAAUAUUUGCUGAAUUCACUUCUCACUUCUCUCUUAGGAGUUGAUUUGGGUUUAGUCAUGGAUGGCUCCCUACUCUCUCUUCGUAUUGAAGCUCAUUUUAUCCAAGAUGUUAUACAGAUGAGGGACUUACUGCUAACCUUGUUCUCAGGGAAGCUCCAAACUAAAGAAUCAAAAAAUAUGAUAAACUUGGGCCAAAAAUCCCAUCCACAGUUAUGGGAAUACCAUGACUGGGCAUAUGAGACACCUGAUUUUCAGCCUAAGGAAGCACCAUCGGCGAGACAUACAGUAUCACAAUCUGGCUAUAUUUUAUGCUCCCUUUCCAUCAGUCUGGGAUAAAUUGUGUGUGUCAAGUUCGGCAAGCAUGGGUGAGCUAAAUGGAGCUGUUAGCUGUCUUUUCAACAUAUUUAUCUGUUUCAUUGCCUACUCUAGGAUGUCUUUGUGAUCAUUAUAUAGGGAUCACAGAUAAUAGACUAUUUGAAAUCUUACUUCAAUUAAAACUUAAUCCUCAGAUGUCAAUAACAGUGUUUUAUACAUAAGGUUACAAUAAAAACAAUGUCUUUUGUGCAUAUCAUUAAAACAACAACAGAAAAUCAAGAAUAAGAAAUGGCCUGAACAUUUUCUAAAACAAGAUGCUCUACUAUGUCGUGUACCUUGUCACUGUGAUAAAAUUAUGGUUAUUUCAAUAUCUAUGCAACUUGACAAAGUCACACAGGAUUUAUAAGAAAAAAAAUC
rnacentral:lncRNA from 10 species